rnacentral:rRNA from 1 species
GUGCCAGCAGCCGCGGUAAUACGUAGGUGGCAAGCGUUGUCCGGAAUUAUUGGGCGUAAAGCGCGCGCAGGUGGUUCCAAAAGUCUGAUGUGAAAGCCCCCGGCUCAACCGGGGAGGGUCAUUGGAAACUGGGGAACUUGAGUGCAGGAGAGGAAAGUGGAAUUCCACGUGUAGCGGUGAAAUGCGUAGAUAUGUGGAGGAACACCAGUGGCGAAGGCGACUUUCUGGCCUGUAACUGACACUGAGGCGCGAAAGCGUGGGGAGCAAACAGGAUUAGAUACCCGCGUAGUCC